AUACUUACCUGGCGUGGGGGUUACCGUGAUCAAGAAGGCGGUUCCCCCAGGGCGAGGCCUUGUCAUUGCGCUGCAACUUGGUUGACCCCUGCGAAUGCCCCAAAUGUGGGCAUCUUGGGCCUAUUACAAUAUAUAUGUUGAUAUGAAUUUCGUCAGAAUUUAUUCAA